UGGGGAAUUUUGCACAAUGGGGGAAACCCUGAUGCAGCGACGCCGCGUGAUUUAGAAGGCCUUCGGGUUGUAAAAAUCUUUUCUAUGGGAAGAAAAUGACAGUACCAUAGGAAUAAGGACCGGCUAAUUACGUGCCAGCAGCCGCGGUAAUACGUAAGGUCCGAGCGUUGUCCGGAAUCAUUGGGCGUAAAGGGUACGUAGGCGGGUAAGCAAGUUAGAAGUGAAAUCCUAUAGCUCAACUAUAGUAAGCUUUUAAAACUGCUCAUCUUGAGGUAUGGAAGGGAAGGUAGAAUUCCUGGUGUAGCGGUGAAAUGCGCAGAUAUUAGGAGGAAUACCGGUGGCGAAGGCGACUUUCUGGCCAUAACCUGACGCUGAGGUACGAAAGCGUGGGUAGCAAACAGG
rnacentral:rRNA from 1 species